rnacentral:rRNA from 1 species
AGUAGUCAUAUGCUUGUCUCAAAGCCUAAGCCAUGCAAGUCUUCGUACAAACUGCAUUAAAGUGAAACCGCAAAAGGCUCAGUAAACCAGUCAUGAUUUACGUGAGUAAACGUGACUGUCUUUGGAUAACUGUGGUAAUCCUAGAGCUAAUACAUGCAAUCAAGUCCCGACCAGUUCCACUGGGAAGGACGCUUUUAUUAGAUCAAGACCAAUCGCCCGGCCUCGGUCGGGCGUCGCCUUGGUGACUCUAGGUAACACAUCAGAUCGCACGGUCUCGCACCGGCGACUCAUCCUUCAAAUGCCUGACUUAUCAACUGACGAUGGUAGACUCCAUGUCUACCAUGGUGAUAACGGGUAACGGGGAAUCAGGGUUCGAUUCCGGAGAGGGAGCCUGAGAAACGGCUACCACAUCCAAGGAAGGCAGCAGGCACGCAAAUUACCCACUCCCGGCACGGGGAGGUAGUGACAAAAAAUAACGAUACGGGACUCAAUUGAGGCCCCGUAAUCGGAAUGAGUACACUUUAAAUCCUUUAACAAGGAUCCAUUGGAGGGCAAGUCAGGUGCCAGCAGCCGCGGUAAUUCCUGCUCCAAUAGCGUAUAUUAAAGUUGUUGCGGUUAAAAAGCUCGUAGUUGGUUCUGCGUGCCACGCUGUCGGUUCGCCGCCUGCCGGUGCUACUGGCAUGUCGUGGCAUGUCCUGUCGGUGGGUGUUCGGGGCCCCGUGCGGGCGGCAGGAGGCCAGGUGCAAACCUGUGCUCCUCUCUGCACGUCGGCGGGUUCACUCCGGCUCCCUACUAUCCUACCUAGGUGCUCUUCACCGAGUGUCGAGGUAGGCCGACACGUUUACUUUGAACAAAUCAGAGUGCUUAAAGCAGGCUGAAAAAUUCUGCCUGAAUGAUGGCGCAUGGAAUAAUAAAACAGGACCUUGGUUCUAUUUUGUUGGUUCUUAGGAACACAAGGUAAUGAUCAAUAAGGACAGGCGGGGGCAUUCGUAUUGCGGGGUUAGAGGUGAAAUUCUUGGAUCCUCGCAAGACGACCGAGAGCGAAAGCAUUUGCCAAGUAUGUCUCGAUUGAUCAAGAACGAAAGUUAGAGGUUCGAAGGCGAUCAGAUACCGCCCUAGUUCUAACCAUAAACGAUGCCAGCCAGCGAUCCGCCGAUGUUCCUCCGAUGACUCGGCGGGGAGCUUCUCCCCGGGAAACCAAAGCUUUUGGGUUCCGGGGGAAGUAUGGUUGCAAAGCUGAAACUUAAAGGAAUUGACGGAAGGGCACCACCAGGAGUGGAGCCUGCGGCUUAAUUUGACUCAACACGGGAAACCUCACCAGGUCAGGACAUUGUAAGGAUUGACAGAUUGAUAGCUCUUUCUUGAUUCAGUGGGUAGUGGUGCAUGGCCGUUCUUAGUUGGUGGAUCGAUUUGUCUGGUUAAUUCCGAUAACGAACGAGACUCUAGCCUAUUAACUAGACGAUCCGAGAGCCCACGUCUCUCGCGACAAUCACUCUUCUUAAGGGGACAGGCGGCUUAUAGUCGCACGAGAUUGAGCAAUAACAGGUCUGUGAUGCCCUUAGAUGUCCUGGGCCGCACGCGCGCUACAAUGAAAGAAUCAGCGUGUGUCUCCCUGCCCGAGAGGGCUGGGUAAUCCGCUGAACCUCUUUCGUGCUUGGGAUUGUAGCUUGCAAUUGUUCUUCAUGAACGAGGAAUUCCCAGUAAGCGCGAGUCAUAAGCUCGCGUUGAUUACGUCCCUGCCCUUUGUACACACCGCCCGUCGCUACUACCGAUUGAAUGAUUUAGUGAGGUCUUCGGACCGGCGGGAAAUCCCUAUCGCUUCGGCGGUAUCGACGAACGCUGGGAAGAUGACCAAACUUGAUCAUUUAGAGGAAGUAAAAGUCGUAACAAGGUUUCCGUAGGUGAACCUGCGGAAGGA